GACGAACGCUGGCGGUGUGCUUAACACAUGCAAGUCGAACGGUAGGGCCCUUUCGGGGGUACACGAGUGGCGAACGGGUGAGUAACACGUGAGUAACCUGCCCUCAUCUCUGGGAUAACAGUCGGAAACGGUUGCUAAUACUGGAUAUGAGCUUGCAAGGCAUCUUGUGGGUUGGAAAGAUUUUUUUGGUUGGGGAUGGACUCGCGGCCUAUCAGCUUGUUGGUGAGGUAGUGGCUCACCAAGGCUUCGACGGGUAGCCGGCCUGAGAGGGCGACCGGCCACAUUGGGACUGAGAUACGGCCCAAACUCCUACGGGAGGCAGCAGUGGGGAAUAUUGCACAAUGGACGGAAGUCUGAUGCAGCAACGCCGCGUGCGGGAUGACGGCCUUCGGGUUGUAAACCGCUUUCAAUUGUGACGAGGCUUUUUGUGACGGUAGCAGUAGAAGAAGCACCGGCUAACUACGUG
rnacentral:rRNA from 1 species